CACUUUUUGACAUUGAGACGACCGAGAAAAAGUGUAUCUAAAAUCUUGCAGCAUGUUUAUUAGCUUUUGUUAAUUUUUUUUUUAAACAAAGGCUACUCGAUAUAAUUAAUACAUGUACAAUGUAUAUAUUUCUUUAUAUUGCCAAAAUGCCAUCUUUUAAAACAAAUCACAUCCAUUAACUCAACAAAAAAAAAAAGAAAAAAAAAAGGCAGCAGUCAUCACUAGUGCCGUAAAGCCGUUUAGAAGUUUCUAGGUCAGUAUUAUAUGCUGGUCCUGGAUCAGUUUCAUCUUCCACUGCUACGUUGCAAUGACGUAAGACAGGCUGCCAACGGCUGAUUGUAGAACAGCGAUUUGAGGCGCUAGUCCAGUUUAAAUUACGACAGGUCUUGGACUCCGACACUUCCGGUAUUUUAACGGCAGCCUGGUUUCUUUCCACCAACAGAGAUGUCAGCUGGCUGAGAGAUGACAUGUACACACUACUACAUAAUACAGCAAACAAACAACGACGAAAUAAACUCUAGCAGACACACGUGAUUACGCGACGCGAACAUUGCUUCGACGCGACAAAGUAAAUCUUGAAGAGUGAACGCGAAAUGGGUGAGCAGAAAUGUGUUGUUUAGUCAACUGACUAGCCUGAUAACAGCAACUGGAAUUAAUGCAAACUUUUUGCAGAUAGAAGUGGCUCGUUUAACAAAUGUCUGGAGUUGUUUGUGCAUUUAUUUUAACGGAAAAUAAGUUUGCUUUUUUUGUACUCGAAAAAUACGUUUGCUUUUUGAACCACUCUGUGUCCGAAGACAUUACUAAUACUUUUUUUUCGCGCGUUUUGCUCUUCAAGAUUAGCUUUAUAACUACUAUGCCUGUCAAAGCUGUUAGCCACUCCCAGCUUUUACUGCUGUCAGGAAGUCACUGAUGCCCUAUAUAUAGUGAUCACCCUAAACUGAAGAAAACAGCAGUAGUUUAUGUUUAAACCGUCCAAGAGCAUUUGGAGCAAAAGACAGAUCAUGUGGCUUCAGCAGAGAUUAAAGGGGCUGCCUGGUUUACUUUCAAGCAGCUGGGCCCGCCGUGUUUUGGUUGGAUUACUGCUCUUCCUCAUUUUCUACUGGUACUUGAGCUCAGAUGGGCUCCUGAAGUUUCUAAGCUUAUCUAGGGAGACUGGGGGAGCUGCGGGGGUGUGUUUGCAGACUGAUCUUCACAGGUGGGCGCCGCUGGUUGACAGAGGGGAGGGAGUGGUUCUUAGCCCCCAAACCAAAGAAUCCGUUCCAUUUGUGGUUGGUAAUGGACAUUUUCUGGUGGAUGUUGACUCUAACAAACUCUGGGUAGCUUCAUCUUCACAGCCUGGGUCUGCACCGGUUCACCAAACAGACUACAGCCCGAUUGUGCGGUUGCAGGUGCCAGGAACGCGCUCGGAAGCUCGGGCAAUGAUGCUGUGGUACAGAAAAGGCUCUGUGCUGUCCUCCCGGUCUUCUCCUGACUGUAUAGUCAUACGCGAGGAAUUUGUUGCGCAUCGCAGCCGACCCAAUGUUUAUCUUCAGAGGAUUCACAUAUCAAACCCUACAGACCAUGUGGUCUCGAUUGACGUGGCCAUGGAGUCACUUUCAUUUAGGAGCACCGUGGAGGUGAUGGAGGACAAAGAAUUUGUGCUCUCCACAGGUAAGGUGCUCACGGAAAAGAAGGACACUGUGUUAGUGGUGGUGGCCACAAAGAGACUGGGCACCAAGAUCCCGGUUCCUCCCAAAUCUGAAUAUUCAGAAAGCCUGGUGAGUGUGAUUCACACUUCGGAGCCCACCGAGGGUGGGAAACUGGACGAGACUCUCAGCAAGCUCAGAGAAGGAGUCAAAAGAGAGAUGGCGGAUGUCCUGCGAGCUAAUGUGGAAGAAUUAAUGCAAGAACACCAGCAAGCAUGGGCGGAUCUCUUCAUAUCUGGUGUGGAAAUCAGAAAGAUCACAGACGCCCAUACUCCAUCCAGUCGUACAGUCAACAACACCCUAUACUACAUUCUGUCAACCUCCACAGCACCCAUACUAGAUCAGAGUCUCACAGCAGAAGAGCACGAACGCCUGGAGUCCAGUCUGAAUUAUGCCGACCACUGCUUCAGCGGCCACGCCACCAUGCAUGCUGAGAACCUGUGGCCAGAGCGUCUGACAAACGUAGCUCAGAUCCUCCAGCUUGUGAAUCUCUGGAACUUGACUUUCCAGAAAAGAGGGUGCAAAGUACUUGUUGCAGCAGGCACUCAUGGUAUGAUGCAAGGCAUGGUCCUUAGUUUUGGAGGUCUGCAGUUCACCGAAAACCACCUUCAGUUCCAGGCAGACCCAGAUGUUCUUCACAACAGCUACUCUUUGAGGGGUAUCCAUUACAAUAAAGACCUUAUCAACCUGGCCGUAUUGCAGGACGUCGAAGGCAAACCUUUCCUGCAUGUGUCCGUCAAGCCUCAGGAGAAACCCGUGAAGCUGUACGCCUGCGAGGCAGGCUGCAUGAACGAGCCCGUGGAGCUGACCUCAGAGCUGCGAGGUCACACGUUUCCUGUGAUGGUCACCCAGCCCAUCACGCCUCUGCUGUACAUCUCCACUGAUCUUACUCACCUGCAAGACCUGAGACACACGAUGCACGUCAAGGCUAUCUUGGCUCACGAGGACCACAUGGCCAAACAGUACCCAGGCCUGCCCUUCCUCUUCUGGUUCAGUGUGGCAUCCCUCAUCACGCUUUUCCACCUCUUCCUCUUCAAACUCAUCUACAAUGAGUACUGUGGGCCUGGAGCCAAGCCGCUCUUCAGGAGUAAGGUAUAGACAGCGACAUGAAGACAAGCCAUUUUUGGGGGUGGUAACUGUGGUGUAUGUGAAUCUCCUCUCCCUUUUUCCUCUUGCUCUCAUUUUGUGCAACUCUCAAAUUCUGCCUUGCAAGAUAUUUUUACCUCUGGAAACUAAGUGACAAUAAUUGGUUUGGGUAACCCAUCAAACUUUCAAUCUGCUGUAAUUGGAGGGUCGGGUGUGCUGGAAAUAGUUGUCUGCAAUCUUCAGUUAGGGUGUUCUCUCUCUAUGAACUUUUUGAUGAGCUGAAAGCACCAGUGCUCUAAAGACACUAUUUGGAUGAUGUUACUGUCUGAAGCCUAAUCCAGUGUGCAGAAACAUUAAAUAUGGCUCUCUGGAUGUCCUCUCAGGAUGUAGCAAUGUAUAUAAUACAUGUUUUUCCAUUUUACUGUGUGAAUUUAAUAAUGAACAUCAGCUGAUUUUUGUUGAGGAUUAUGUAAGUUGUUGUGGUUAAAAUAUGAAGACUAUUAGAAGUGCCAGGUCAUGUGUAAAAUAAUUAUAAAAUAUCAUCAAUUAUGAAGGAUCCAAACAAGCUUUGUCUUAAUUCAUUCUUUUAGCUUAUAAACAAGCACAAUAAUACAAUUUUAAUGAAAAACAGAAUCAAAUAUGCAACCCCUAAACAUGUUCAAACAUGUUGAUUUUAUGUGAGUUCAACUAAAAUAUUUAGCCUAUUUUUUUAAUCAUGAUGAAAUGGAAGUAGCAACAGAUCCAUUCAUCCAUUACGUUCAUCUCUAUUGUGACGUACAUCUGAGUGAAAUGGGUUAUUGAAAAAUAAAAUGAUGUAGGGUGGUA